rnacentral:lncRNA from 1 species
CCCCCUCCCCACCAAAAACCUACCACAAGUUUAGUGCCAUGUAUAAAUGGUUGUUCCCACAUUGUCCAUAUGGACAUUGAACAUGUAGAUGUACAUAUUUACUAAUAUUACACAACAUUGUUGUUUACUGUCCACAUAUACGCAUAUGUAAUGUACAUCCUACCUGUAAAACCCAACUACAAGUUUAGCACCAUAUACAUAUGUAUGAGGUUUCCAUAUUGUCCAUAUGGACACUUACCAAGUACAUGUACAAAUUUAUCAAUAUUACACCACAUCUAAAGAUUACUCA